rnacentral:rRNA from 1 species
UUUAAAUGGCCGCAGUAUACUAACUGUGCAAAGGUAGCAUAAUCAUUAGUCUUUUAAUUGAAGGCUGGUAUGAAUGGUUGGACGAGAUAUUGACUGUUUCAUAAAAAUUUACAUUAGAAUUUUAUUUUUUAGUUAAAAAGCUAAAAUUUAUUUAAAAGACGAGAAGACCCUAUAAAUCUUUAUAUUUAAUUUAUUAUAAUUGAAUAGAUUAUUUUUAUUAUAAUAAUAAGUAAUAUUUUAUUGGGGUGAUAUUAAAAUUUAAUAAACUUUUAAUUGUUUAAAUCAUUAAUUUAUGAUUAAUUGAUCCGUUAUUAACGAUUAAAAAAAUAAGUUACUUUAGGGAUAACAGCGUAAUUUUUUUGGAGAGUUCUUAUUGAUAAAAAAGAUUGCGACCUCGAUGUUGGAUUAAGAUAUAAUUUUAGGUGUAGCCGCUUAAAUUUUAAGUCUGUUCGACUUUUAA